rnacentral:lncRNA from 1 species
UAUUUAUUUAAUACCUUUAAUUAAAGGCACUAAAUAAAUACCCAAAAUGUUUCUAUAAACAAAUAAGUUUUAAGAAUUUUAAUGUGCAAAAGAGAUAAAAACAAACUUAUUAAAUUUUAUUUCACUAUUUUUGGGUACUUCUACGAAUUUUGGUGAAUUAAAAGGUGCAGCAGUUAUUUAAAUUUAUUUUAAAACCGAAAAUUCCUCACCCUUAUCCGAAAACACCUUGGAAAUCUUUCCUACCGGCCCUCCCCUACCC